rnacentral:rRNA from 1 species
GAACGCUGAAGGAGGAGCUUGCUUCUCCGGAUGAGUUGCGAACGGGUGAGUAACGCGUAGGUAACCUGCCUGGUAGCGGGGGAUAACUAUUGGAAACGAUAGCUAAUACCGCAUAACAGUAGAUAUUGCAUGAUAUCUGCUUGAAAGGUGCAAUUGCAUCACUACCAGAUGGACCUGCGUUGUAUUAGCUAGUUGGUGAGGUAACGGCUCACCAAGGCGACGAUACAUAGCCGACCUGAGAGGGUGAUCGGCCACACUGGGACUGAGACACGGCCCAGACCCCUACGGGAGGCAGCAGUAGGGAAUCUUCGGCAAUGGACGGAAGUCUGACCGAGCAACGCCGCGUGAGUGAAGAAGGUUUUCGGAUCGUAAAGCUCUGUCGUAAGAGAAGAACGAGUGUGAGAGUGGAAAGUUCACACUGUGACGGUAUCUUACCAGAAAGGGACGGCUAACUACGUGCCAGCAGCCGCGGUAAUACGUAGGUCCCGAGCGUUGUCCGGAUUUAUUGGGCGUAAAGCGAGCGCAGGCGGUUAGAUAAGUCUGAAGUUAAAGGCUGUGGCUUAACCAUAGUACGCUUUGGAAACUGUUUAACUUGAGUGCAAGAGGGGAGAGUGGAAUUCCAUGUGUAGCGGUGAAAUGCGUAGAUAUAUGGAGGAACACCGGUGGCGAAAGCGGCUCUCUGGCUUGUAACUGACGCUGAGGCUCGAAAGCGUGGGGAGCAAACAGGAUUAGAUACCCUGGUAGUCCACGCCGUAAACGAUGAGUGCUAGGUGUUAGACCCUUUCC